rnacentral:lncRNA from 1 species
CCAAUUUUAGUAAAAAUUCACGAAACUUACACAAAACCAUCCCAAAACAUAGUCUUACAAAAGUAUCAAAUGCAUUCGCACACUAACCGACAAUGAACCGGAAACAUCCCGCACUCAAUUCGCUGGAGAAGCACCAAUUGUGCCUUGCCUUUUCGCUAAUAAAAAAUUGACGAGAAUUAACGAGAAACCCCCUUAAACACUAACUAAAAAAAACAGUAAAACCACACCUACCUAACUUACCGAAAUGAAUGAAAUAGAGAUUUGCACAAAAAAUGAUGCUGAACGACAAAAGGGUAACCCCCGAUUUUUGGUUUAAAAUGCAAGAGAAGAAUAAAAAGAAAGAAAGAAAAAAAAGAAAAUUGUGUAGAAAAGGGAAAAGAGAAUAAAAACUGACGUAAAAUCAAGAGGGGACUUUUUGGAAACAAAAUUAGGAUAAAACAAAAUUAAUUGAUUAAAAUUUGAAAAAAAAACUAAAAUCCCCUACUAACACCCCCGCUUACCACACAAUCCCACCAAAUUCGACACCUCAAUCCAUAUCCAACUACCUCAAAAUUUCAACUCCACUGAACCUCUAUCAGACAACCAAAGCAAAAAUUAUCAUCCACACUCACAUAAGGAUUCGAACAUGAAACCUUAAUGCAAGCUAACACCUUACCACCC